AGAGUUGAUCAUGGCUCAGGAUGAACGCUAGCGGGAGGCCUAACACAUGCAAGCCGAGCGGUAGAAUUUCUUCGGAGAUUUGAGAGCGGCGUACGGGUGCGUAACACGUGUGCAACCUACCUUUAUCUGGGGGAUAGCCUUUCGAAAGGAAGAUUAAUACCCCAUAAUAUAAUGAAUGGCAUCAUUUAUUAUUGAAAACUCCGGUGGAUAGAGAUGGGCACGCGCAAGAUUAGAUAGUUGGUGAGGUAACGGCUCACCAAGUCAAUGAUCUUUAGGGGGCCUGAGAGGGUGAUCCCCCACACUGGUACUGAGACACGGACCAGACUCCUACGGGAGGCAGCAGUGAGGAAUAUUGGACAAUGGGUGAGAGCCUGAUCCAGCCAUCCCGCGUGAAGGACGACUGCCCUAUGGGUUGUAAACUUCUUUUGUACAGGGAUAAACCAUUCUACAUGUAGAAUGCUGAAGGUACUGUACGAAUAAGCACCGGCUAACUCCGUG
rnacentral:rRNA from 1 species